CGAGUAAAGUCGGGCACUCUGGCGAAACCGCCCCGGAUAACGGGGAGGAAGGUGGGGAUGACGUCAAGUCCUCAUGGCCUUUAUGUCCAGGGCUACACACGUGCUACAAUGGCCGGUACAAACCGUCGCAAACCCGCGAGGGGGAGCUAAUCGGAAAAAGCCGGCCUCAGUUCGGAUUGGAGUCUGCAACUCGACUCCAUGAAGCCGGAAUCGCUAGUAAUCGCAGAUCAGCACGCUGCGGUGAAUACGUUCCCGGGCCU
rnacentral:rRNA from 1 species